rnacentral:pre_miRNA from 12 species
UGUUCCAGGAUGGUUUUGCCAGCAGCCCAUUCCCUGAGACCCUAACUUGUGACGUAUUAUGUAAAAUCUCACAGGCUAGAAUCUCAGGUAUGGGAGGUUCGGCACCUGCUUCAAGUCCUGC